UCUCAAUUUUUUCUAUUUUUUCUCUAUUUAAUUAUUAUAUUAAAUAGUUAAUAGUUCUUAAUUACACCUUCCCAUUUACUAUUCUUUAUUUUCCACAACUUUAUCAAUUUUCAGAAUUCAAAAGGUUAUCAAUAUUUCUUUAAAUAACUCCACUUAAAUAGGUAUUCUAUAAAAUAAAAUAAUUUCUGCAGCAAACAACCCGACUAGCUCACAAUCAAACAACUCUGCAGUAACUCAUCGACGAAAAAGGGGCCGCUGAGCGUCCGCCGCUUCAGUUGUAAAAGCAAAAUAUCUCUUUGAUUGUUGUGAGUUUUGAUUUUUGUGGGUGCCGCUUCAGUUGUGAAAGAAAACUUUCUUCAGAAGUAGGGAGAUUACGGUUGACAACCAUUGAAGAUCCGAGGUAUUAUUUUUGCUUAUCCAAUAUUUCCUUUCUUACAAUCACCAUUUCUCACAAUUUUCAAUGAUUCGGGUACCUUCUGUCUUAUCUGCCUGUGACGACCUUGAACCCGUCGCUUGUACUGCCAUUGUCAACCGUCGAUUCUGUUACACCAAAGAUCUUUCAGUAGACCUAGGAAAAGCAAAAAAUUUAUCAGAAAAUUAAAUCUUGAAAGUACAGAUUUCAAAAAUUUUCUCAGAAAAAUUGAAUAUUGAAAUAAAGAAGAAAGUGACGAAUAAUUUUGAGCCAACGACGACAAUGGCUGCCGAAUCGAUCAAAACCAUAUCAUCGUUCUUUUUUACAGGAAUGGCGGAUGAAGCAACAACUCUCUAUUUGCUGCUGCUACUUUGGAAGUUUCGUUUUUGCUUCUACUGAAUUUAAUACUACUACAUUGGGUGAUGUACACUGUGUAUCUUUGAUUGUGCUCUUAUGAUAUUGAUGAUAAAAGGUCCGAUGAGGAAAUACGAGGAUGAAGAAGACAUUUUGAUUAUUGAAGGUAUGUCGAAGAAAUCGAAAAUGAAUUCAAUAGAAACGCGAAAGAGAGUGUAUUUAAUAUUUUUUCCC
rnacentral:lncRNA from 1 species